UGUGUUUGACAGCAAGCAGACUUUAAUUGAGAGUGUAAAACCAAGGUGACCCCAGCCUCUUCAGUUACAUUAAUUUCCCUUUUCUCCUCAGGACAUAGGCAGGAAGACAGCCUGUUUUCUAACAAGAAUCCAGAAAUCAGUCUCCAUCCCCAAGCUGUUUUAUGUAGACUGGUUCAGAUGUCUCUCACUCUGGUUGGCUUGUGAUCUGUGUUCAGGCAUUUUCCUUCCUUGAGAACAGGAGUCCGUCUCACAAGAUUCAUCUGUCUUUUGAGGCACUGGGUAUAAGGGAAGUCACCCUGGAAUUAAGCUGCCUUUAUACUAGCUGUUCGCUCUGCCUAGAACAUUCUUCCCCAGAUAUCUGCACGGCUAGCUCCCUCACCUCCUUUAUCCUUCAAAUCUUUACUCAAAUACUACUUCUCAACAAGGCUCUAUUACAAUCUGCGCCCUUGGCCAAGCCCCUAGCAUCCCAAAUCUCCCUUACUUUGCUCUAUAUUUUGUCACAGCUCUUAUCAACUUCUCUGUCUUUGCUUUUUCUGUAGUUUGAAUAUGAUAUGCCUAGCUAUAUUGUAGAACUUAUAAUAUGCACUGACUGCAUCUUAGUAUUACUAGAAUGUAAGCUCCAUAAGAUCAGGAAUUUUUGUCUGUUUUAGUCACUGAUAUCCCAAGCACACAGACAUGGCACAUAAAAGGUACUCAAUAGAUGAGUGUGUGAAUGAAAGAGCGGCCUAGGGUCAGAUCCCACCCUGUCACUUACUCCAGCUGUGUGCCCUAGGCACUUUGCUUCCCUCUCGGCCCCAGUUUCUUCAUCUCUGAGACUGGGGUCUAAGCACCCACCUCCUGGAUAAUGCAUGUGAAGUGUCUGGCAGGGUGCUUGGCAUGAGCAGACGGUUAAUAAAUGGCGGCCAAUUGGCAUGAUUACUUCCCCCCUCGAACUCUUCACCUUCCAUCUCUUAUAAGUACCCUUUACUCAGGGGCAUCACCAAGAUAAUUAAUGUGGCAGAGCCUUCAGGUCUGGGGCUGUGAUGAGGGGGUGAGGGCAUGAGGCUGUGUAAAGCUCAAAGACCUCAGAAUUCUUUCUUUCCUGUGCCAGAUGGACUUGCUCUAGAGGAACGGGCAUCAGGCUCUCAGCAACCCCCAGCCCGCAGUUACACGGCAGCAGAGGAUCUAGAACCAACCUUGGGUCCUGUGAGAAAUCUGAGCCCCCCUUUGACCUACUAGACCACAUUUGCCACAGUUGAUUUUCUAAGCC
rnacentral:lncRNA from 1 species